rnacentral:rRNA from 1 species
AUUCCAGCUCCAAUAGCGUAUAUUAAAGUUGUUGCAGUUAAAAAGCUCGUAGUUGGAUUUCUGGUUGAAGCGACCGGUCGGGCGUUGAUUCGUCUGCACUGGAGUCGGUUUUGGCCAUCCUCUAGGAAAGUGCGUCUGGUAUUAAGUUGUCGGGCGUAUGAUCCUGGUCUUUUACUGUGAAAAAAAUUAGAGUGUUUAAAGCAGGCCUUCGCCUUGAAUACAUUAGCAUGGAAUAAUAAGAUAGGACUUUGGUCUAUUUUGUUGGUUUGCAGACCGAAGUAAUGAUUAAUAGGGAUAGUUGGGGGUAUUUAUAUUCCGAUGUCAGAGGUGAAAUUCUUAGAUUUUCGGAAGAUAAACUUAUGCGAAAGCAUUUACCAAGGAUGUUUUCAUUG